rnacentral:lncRNA from 1 species
CCUAGGCCCUGGGCUUUUUUUAUGUGUCAUACUGGGUGCAAUAUAGAUGGGUUUCCACACCUAUCCGCGGGCUAUCAUCGGCCUAAAUAGGUUGCACAAGAUCGAAGAAGCACAACUAGUCCAUGGGAAGAAAAGCAUUGGGACGAAAAUAAAAACUGAGUCGGGCAUUUUCCGAGCGGUUCUUUGUGGAAAAACCUUGAUAUUACUCAGAGUGAGGCCUCCUAGUAGUUAUCUGUGAAUUUUCGGGACGGUUCUCACAUGGUUAAAAAUCGGCCGAUUUUCGGUAUGGUAAAGCCUUGGCCAUUUUUGGACCGUUUUUUGCGCAACCAUUGUGCACCCAGAACGAGCCCCACCCGACCCCUAGGCCCUGGGCUUUUUUUAUGUGUCAUACUGGGUGCAAUAUAGAUGGGUUUCCACACCUAUCCGCGGGCUAUCAUCGGCCUAAAUAGGUUGCACAAGAUCGAAGAAGCAAAACUAGUCCAUGGGAAGAAAAGCAUUGGGACGAAAAUAAAAACUGAGUCUGGGCAUCUCCGAGCGGUUCUUGUGGGAGAAAACUUGAUAUACUCAGAGUGAGGCCUCCUAGUAGUUAUCUGUGAAUUUUCGGGACGUUUCUCACAUGGUUAAAAAUCGGCCGAUUUUCGGUAUGGUAAAGCCUUGGCCAUUUUUGGACCGUUUUUUGGCGCAACCUUGUGCACCCCGAACGAGCCCCACCCGACCCCUAGGCCUGGGCUUUUUUUAUGUGUCAUACUGGUGCAAUAUAGAUGGGUUUCCACACCUAUCCGCGGGCUAUCAUCGGCCUAAAUAGGUUGCACAAGAUCGAAGAAGCACAACUAGUCCAUGGGAAGAAAAGCAUUGGGACGAAAAUAAAAACUGAGUCCGGGCAUUUUCGAGCGGUUCGUGUGGGAAAAAACCUUGAUAUUACUCAGAGUGAGGCCUCCUAGUAGUUAUAUGUGAAUUUUCGGGACGGUUCUCACAUGGUUAAAAAUCGGCCGAUUUUCGGUAUGGUAAAGCCUUGGCCAUUUUUGGACCGUUUUUUGCGCAACCGUUGUGCACCCCGAACGAGCCCCACCCGACCCCUAGGCCCUGGGCUUUUUUAUGUGUCAUAAUGGGUGCAAUAUAGAUGGGUUUCCACACCUAUCCGCGGGCUAUCAUCGGCCUAAAUAGGUUGCACAAGAUCAAAGAAACAAAACUAGUCCAUGGGAAGAAAAGCAUUGGGACGAAAAUAAAAACUGAGUCUGGGCAUCUCCGAGCGGUUCUUGUGGGAGAAAACUUUAAUAUUACUCAGAGUGAGGCCUCCUAGUAGUUAUCUGUGAAUUUUCGGGACGUUUCUCACAUGGUUAAAAAUCGGCCGAUUUUCGGUAUGGUAAAGCCUUGGCCAUUUUUGACCGUUUUUUUGCGCGAACCGUUGUGCACCCCGAACGAGCCUCACCCGACCCCUAGGCCCUGGGCUUUUUUUAUGUGUCAUACUGGGUGCAAUAUAGAUGGGUUUCCACACCUAUCCGCGGGCUAUCAUCGGCGUUAAAAAUAGGUUGCACAAGAUCAAAGAAACACAACUAGUCCAUGGGAAGAAAAGUAUUGGGACGAAAAUAAAAACUCAGUCUGGGCAUCUCCGAGCGGUUCUUGUGGGAGAAAACUUUAAUAUUGCUCAGAAUGAGGCCUCCUAGUAGUUAUGUGUGAAUUUUCGAGACGUUUCUCACAUGGUUAAAAAUCGGCCGAUUUUCGGUAUGGUAAAGCCUUGGCCAUUUUUGGACCGUUUUUUGGCGCAACCGUUGUGCACCCGAACGAGCCCCACCCGACCCCUAGGCCCUGGGCUUUUUUUCUGGCGUCAUACUGGGUUCAAUAUAGAUGGUUUUCCACACCCAUCCCGCGGCUAUCAUCGCCUAAAUAGGUUGCACAAGAUCAAAGAAACAAAACUAGUCCAUGGGAAGAAAAGCAUUGGGACGAAAAUAAAAACUGAGUCUGGGCAUCUCCGAGCGGUUCUUGUGGGAGAAAACUUUAAUAUUACUCAGAGUGAGGCCUCCUAGUAGUUAUCUGUGAAUUUUCGAGACGUUUCUCACAUGGUUAAAAAUCGGCCGAUUUUCGGUAUGGUAAAGCCUUCGCCAUUUUUGGACCGUUUUCGGCGCAACCAUUGUGCACCACGAACGAGCCCCACCCGACCCCUAGGCCCUGGGCUUUUUUUCUGUGUCAUACAGGGUGCAAUGUAGAUGGGUUUCCACAC